rnacentral:lncRNA from 1 species
AAUUUCUUUGGAACAUGGGGAAUGGGAGUGUCUUUGAUGUCCUUAUAUCUAAAAACUGAUAUAUUUUGGUAACUGUAACAGUACAUAUCAAUGACACUGGAUUUUCUUGGAAAUAAACCUCUACAUGCAGACUAUUUGUAAUCAUAGAAUAAUGAAGAAAUAUGGAAUAAUAUUAUUUCCAUUGGCCAGAUUUUGAGAGGCA